UACGUAGGGAGCAAGCGUUAUCCGGAAUCAUUGGGCGUAAAGCGCGCGUAGGCGGCCCUGUAAGUCCGUUGUGAAAGUCAAAGGCUCAACCUUUGAAAGCCGAUGGAUACUGCAGGGCUAGAGUCCGGAAGAGGCGAGUGGAAUUCCUGGUGUAGCGGUGGAAUGCGCAGAUAUCAGGAGGAACACCAAUAGCGAAGGCAGCUCGCUGGGACGGUACUGACGCUAAGGCGCGAAAGCGUGGGGAGCGAACAGG
rnacentral:rRNA from 1 species